rnacentral:lncRNA from 1 species
CGAGGGCCGAGGGCGCGCCAGUGCCCGGCGCGGGGCGCCUGCCCGCUUGCAGCCGCCUGUGGGGACCGCACGCAGCUGGCCACCUCCGGGGUGCUGGCGUGGGUCCCUCGCGGUCCGGCGGCGACUGUAAAUAGAGCCUGGAUGUUGUUUACAUGAAGGAUCCGGCGGGAGGAGUCUGCGAGGAGGAGGCGGAGGAGGAGGGAGGGAGGAGAGAGGAAGACCGGAGUCCCCGCGGCGACGGCGGUCAGGGCUACCCGCACACCAGCAGCCACCUUUUUGGAGAAGGACCACACCUGUGCUUAUUCCGGCUUUGGAGGAGAGAAGUAGGAGUAGAAGCUCUGAGAACGGUGGACUCUGCAGAAAAGAGAGGUGUAGAUGUGUUUCUGGAACAGCCCACAGCUCAAGAAUUGGAGGAUUCAAAAGCAAGUUUUUUAUGCUACCAGUUUGCCAGAAGUACUCAGUUUUCUAGAUAAUAAUAUUUGGUACAUGCAUCAUGAAGAAAUUAUUCUCAGCUGUAUCAUUUUUAUCACAGAAGAACUGAGUUUAAAAUCAGUUUAAUCACUGGAGGAAAGCAUUUUAUACCACUAUUUCUUUUCUCCUCUCUUACUACACAAUAUAAUUUCACACUGUAGCAUGAGCACCUGCAGUUGUUCGUUUUAAAAUUAAAACAAUUUGAUUUUUAUAAGAAAAAUCUAUGGAAU